AUCAGUUAUCCUGAAAUGAACGACAGAACUUACAUGGUAGUAAAUUCAUGACAAGUACAGUAGUAAUAAUUCUAAAGUCUGUAAAAACUCGGCUGAGAGUACUAAUACUAGUACAAAGUUAACAGCUCUACAUUUUUUUGCUUUUAUUUAC